GGGGUUGACUGGAUUUGACAGCAGCUGAGAUGGUAUGUAAGCACGCGGAGCUUCGUUGCCUGGCUCCUAAAUAUCAGACAUCGACAAAUUAAUUGGCGAAAACAACUACGCUCUCGCUGCUUAAUCGAAGUUCAGUAGAUUAGAGCUUAAUCUCGGCACCAGGUGCUGAGACGAGACAUCGCCCAGAGGUUCUUGUUCCGAAACGCUCUGAUCCGGCGGUGCAGGUAAAUCGGAAAUAGUCAUGUAAGGCCUCGAUUGCAUGAUGAAAUUUUAGAGGAUAAGGUUACGGUUGGUGGUCUGGGUCUUGCCGUAACACGAAAAUGAAGGCCAGAAUAAGCGUGUAGAAAGCGUAUGGUUUCCCUGUUUGGACGCGGGUUCGACUCCCGCCAGCUCCACCC
rnacentral:tmRNA from 1 species